CUGGUUUCUGCUACACAGAGUCCUGCACAAGCCCGGCUAACACAGAGAAUGCAUGUGGCCACACAUGAAAGCACACCGAAGUUUGAAUUGGACCUUGCUCAUAAUGAAGUUUCGCCAGUGACUUGGUUGUUGAGUCUACAAUUAUGCUGGCAGGCUGUGCUGCCAAAAAGUUUCUUCACAGAACUGUGGGGAAGAACAGCAUACACAAAACCAGGAUCACACUUAGCAAGUUUUGCCCAAACACAGACUCCAGUGCUAUUGUGACACAGCAAAAAUGAGUAAUCUGGCUAAAAGAAUGCAAAUAUGAACACCAGCAUCACCCAGGCUACCAGGAACGGUAUUAUUUAAUGAAAAACAGCCCUGGUCCAUAAAGACACAGAACUAUACAGCUUCCACUGAAAACAUCAACAGAUAAGUUUCCCACCAUCUUCAUGGAUCUUGAUACAGCAUGAAGAGUGUACGAGGAUCAUCACAGCCAGGAACUACAACAGGUUGCCCAGAGAAGAGGUGGAUGUCCUGUCUCUGGCAACAUUCAGGAAGGGCUCUGAGCAACCUGAUCUAGCUGUAGAUGCAAUGCCCCUGUCCAUUGCAGGGGAGUUCGACCAGAAGAUAUUUAAAGGUCCCCUCUCACUCAAACAACUCUAUCAACUAGAAUCCCCUUCACCUUUGGUGAAAACAUCGAAGCAAUUAUCACCUAAAAGUUGCACUGCCCAAGCUAGUCCUACACGUAGUGUUACCUUCCUAUCUAUGAAUCACGGUGUGAAGAUCAUGCUGGACAGAGUAUGGCUCCCGCAAGAAUAUCCAGAGUCACGUGCCUGCUGCGUCAUCAAAGUCAUCCACACACCUUAUAAUCAAAGUGAGCCACAUACUUUGUAUUGUAAACUUCUGCUUACGUUUGCCAGUAACAGAUGCAUAGUUUGCAACUGCCAUCAACUGCAAACCACAACCACUAUUUCAGCAGUUCAGCCACUCACUGAAAGCUAUGAGGUGAUGCUGCCUGCAACUGUGGUCCAGCCUGGUCCUGAUCCUGACAAGGGCUCAUACAGGUACUUGUAUCACUCUGCUCUCAACAGGACUGCAUGCAGCACAACAGCUCAGCCAGAGGACAGCCUCUGAUGGAGCUUGCUACUCAAGCAAGCCAAUUCAUCCCACUGCAUAGUGCCAGCCACAUAAGUAAUGGCAAACUUCUAGCUAAUUCCGAACAAUCAUACAUAAAUAUUCCAGCUAUUAUACUUCUGAUGCUUAAGAAUGUAUUUUUGUUGUAUUUCCUUUUCAGCUGUAAAUGAUCCUUGCUCUAAGGUACACAAGGAUGCAUCCAGCAAUGAAACAGGAUUCUAACUGGAAAGUAUAGUUCUGAAAUCUUUAUGGAGGCAAAAUACUAAUGUUUAUUUCAAUGUCUAAUUAAAAUAGGUGGAAAUUUUGC
rnacentral:lncRNA from 7 species